rnacentral:tRNA from 1 species
GGGCGGUUAACUCAGCGGUAGAGUAUCUGCCUUACAAGCAGAGAGCCACUGGUUCGAAUCCAGUACUGCCCA